UACAGAGGGAGCAAGCGUUGUUCGGAAUUACUGGGCGUAAAGGGCGCGUAGGCGGCUUGGUAAGUCCUGUGUGAAAUCCCUCGGCUUAACUGAGGAAUUGCACGGGAAACUGCCUGGCUUGAGUUCGGGAGAGGGACGCGGAAUUCCGGGUGUAGCGGUGAAAUGCGUAGAUAUCCGGAGGAACACCGGUGGCGAAGGCGGCGUCCUGGACCGACACUGACGCUGAGGCGCGAAAGCUAGGGGAG
rnacentral:rRNA from 1 species